rnacentral:rRNA from 1 species
GACGAACGCUGGCGGCGUGCUUAACACAUGCAAGUCGAACGGAAAGGCCCUGCUUUUGUGGGUUGCUCGAGUGGCGAACGGGUGAGUAACACGUGAGUAACCUGCCCUUGACUUUGGGAUAACUUCAGGAAACUGGGGCUAAUACCGGAUAGGAGCUCCUGCUGCAUGGUGGGGGUUGGAAAGUUUCGGCGGUUGGGGAUGGACUCGCGGCUUAUCAGCUUGUUGGUGUGGUAGUGGCUUACCAAGGCUUUGACGGGUAGCCGGCCUGAGAGGGUGACCGGCCACAUUGGGACUGAGAUACGGCCCAGACUCCUACGGGAGGCAGCAGUGGGGAAUAUUGCACAAUGGGCGGAAGCCUGAUGCAGAAACGCCGCGUGCGGGAUGACGGCUUUCGGGUUGUAAACAGCUUUCGCCUGUGACGAAGCGUGAGUGACGGUAAUGGGUAAAGAAGCACCGGCUAACUACGUG